rnacentral:rRNA from 1 species
AAGAUCCUGGCGGAGGAUGAACGCUAGCUACAGGCUUAACAUAUGCAAGUCGAGGGGCAGCAUGGUCAAAGCUUGCUUUGACUGAUGGCGACCGGCGCACGGGUGAGUAACGCGUAUCCACCCUGGCCCUUAGUAGGGGAUAGCCCGUAGAAAUGCGGAUUAAUACCCUAUGUUGUAUUUUGAGGACAUCUGACGAAUACCAAAGGUUUACCGCUAGGGGAUGGGGAUGCGUCCGAUUAGCUUGCCGGCGGGGUAACGGCCCAACCGGGGCGACGAUCGGUAGGGGUUCUGAGAGGAAGGUCCCCCCACACUGGAACUGAGACACGGUCCCAGACUCCUACGGGAGGCAGCAGUGAGGAAUAUUGGUCAAUGGGCGGGAGCCUGAACCAGCCAAGUAGCGUGCAGGAUGACGGCCCUAUGGGUUGUAAACUGCUUUUGUACGGGAAUAAAGUCUGGGACGUGUCCCAGUUUGUAUGUACCGUAAGAAUAAGGACCGGCUAAUUCCGUGCCAGCAGCCGCGGUAAUACGGAAGGUCCGGGCGUUAUCCGGAUUUAUUGGGUUUAAAGGGAGCGCAGGCCGGUGCUUAAGCGUGACGUGAAAUGCCGCGGCUCAACCGUGGAAGUGCGUCGCGAACUGGGUGCCUUGAGUGAGUUCGACGCCGGCGGAAUUCGUGGUGUAGCGGUGAAAUGCUUAGAUAUCACGAAGAACCCCGAUUGCGAAGGCAGCCGGCGAGGCCUUUACUGACGCUAAAGCUCGAAGGUGCGGGUAUCGUACAGGAUUAGAUACCCUGGUAGUCCGCACGGUA